AGUGGCGAACGGGUGAGUAAUAUAUCGGAACGUAUCCAAUAAUGGGGGAUAACUAGCCGAAAGGUUAGCUAAUACCGCAUACGCCCUGAGGGGGAAAGCUGGGGAUCGUAAGACCUAGCGUUGAUGGAGCGGCCGAUAUCUGAUUAGCUAGUUGGUGGGGUAAGAGCCUACCAAGGCGACGAUCAGUAGCUGGUCUGAGAGGACGACCAGCCACACUGGAACUGAGACACGGUCCAGACUCCUACGGGAGGCAGCAGUGGGGAAUUUUGGACAAUGGGGGCAACCCUGAUCCAGCCAUUCCGCGUGAGUGAAGAAGGCCUUCGGGUUGUAAAGCUCUUUCGCAAGGGAAGAAAACUUAUUCUCUAACAUAGGAUAAGGCUGACGGUACCUUGAUAAGAAGCACCGGCUAACCACGUGCCAGCAGCCGCGGUAAUACGUAGGGUGCGAGCGUUAAUCGGAAUUACUGGGCGUAAAGCGUGCGCAGGCGGUUUUGAAAGUCAGAUGUGAAAUCCCCGGGCUCAACCUGGGAACUGCGUUUGAAUCUCCAAAGCUAGAGUAUGGGAGAGGGAGGUAGAAUUCCACGUGUAGCAGUGAAAUGCGUAGAGAUGUGGAGGAAUACCAAUGGCGAAGGCAGCCUCCUGGCUUAAUACUGACGCUCAUGCACGAAAGCGUGGGGAGCAAACAGGAUUAGAUACCCUGG
rnacentral:rRNA from 1 species